CUUUCAGGGGCUGGACUUUACGCUGCUCUUCUCACUUGGCCGGUUUGACUUGCAGGGUUUAAAGUGAGCACACCUACCAGCUCUCCAUUGUUGAGUGUGACUGACCAGCUGAUCAUAAUGGCUACACACUCCAGAUGCUCUCCUGCCUAUGCCUGGAGUAGACAGGAGAUAUUGGAUCUCCCGAGUCCUGGGCCUGCAGGGAGAAAAGGCUGUGCAGGCACAGCUCGAAGCUAGCCAUAGAAAUAUCAAUGUCUAUGAGCAGAUAGCAUGGAGGAUACAGGAGAAGGGCUACAACAGGAACCAGCAGUAGUGUCAUGUGAAAGCCAAGCAGCUGUGGCAGGGAUACGAGAGAGGCCAACAGUUGAUCCAGUGCUCAGCCUCAGACCUGCCGCUCUUACAAAGGGCUGUAUACCAUACUGGGCAGAGAUCCCACCACCACCCACCACAGCACCAUCCAAGAUGCCUGACUCACAAGUUCCUGCUGUGAACAGCAAGGAGGAGGAGGAGUAUCAGGGACAAGUGACCAGGGGAAUCCAGCUGCUCAGUGAGCCAGGACCUGUUUUUGAAUCCACCGCAGUCCAGCCAGGACGAGCCCAAUGCAGGUGAAGGAACCUCAGGUAAGUGUGUACAUACAUAUUCAGUUAUAGAGAAGGCCCCCACUCCCCGGAGUAAGUUUCUAGGGAGGGCUGCCUUAUUUCUUCCUCCGCAGUAGGACACUUUCCCACGCCAACUUCAGCAGGCACCGUUGUAAUAUACAGGCGAGCAGCAUACACGCCUUUGUAACACUCAGGAGUGAGAUAUCAGCUAAAAUCAUCACCAUCUGUGGAAAAUAGUGCAGUAUUCAGUGCCAUUGCCCUAUACUAGUAGAACUGUGCAAACCCAACCCCCAGCAGGCCAUACUCACCGUGGCUAGUCCUGUGACUGGUGCCGUGCACAAGCAAUCCCAAGCAGAAGUGAGAAUGUAGUGCUUAAAACUUUAGGGAAGCAAGGGAGGUGAAUUCAGCAUCUUAGGUUUCACUUUAUGUAUCAGCAUCUUAGGUUUCACUUUACGUAGUGAAUAUGCUGGCAAUGGUACUACCACUGUGUGUUUUAUCUUCAGCUGCUGCAUUGCGGCCUUGAGGGUAUCCCUCUUCACGCCUGCAGAAUGCCUGAGCCAGAUAAGGAGGGAAAAGAAGAAGACUCAAGAUAACAUGUUCAGUGAGACCUGUAAGCCAGUGCCGCAUCAGACUGAGAGCACAGGACCAGGAGAAUAAACAUUGCGGACAGCCUGGAGAGCGAAAGAGCGGAGAGGAGAAAGGCCCAGGAGUCCCAAGGAGAGGACCAGACAGGAGAAGUUGGGGUGAGGAUUCGGCAUUUGGGCAAUGGAUCAGACUCUACAAUGGUUGGUGGAACAACAAAAAGAGAUGCAGAAGACCAUGCAUUCGUUCCAGGAAUCCCAUCAGAUGGAAUGACAGUCCCUCCUUGCAUGGCAGGCCAAGCAGCAGAAGAGCCUUCAAAAGUUCAUAAAAGAACAGGCACAGAUGCAGCAGCAACCGAUACAAGGUCUGGUAAGUCCUCCAACAGAGAAUAGCAGUAGGACACAGAGGCUGAGCCUGUGUCAGAUGGGCCCAGCAGAUGACCCUGAUGUAUUUUUACUAACUUUUGUGAGUUAGUAAAUGCAAUGGGAGUCAGAUGGGAUAAGGUAUCAUGGACCCUCCGAAUGGCACUCUGUCUCAGGGGAAGCCCAGGCAGCCUACAUGGCCUGAGUGAAGAACAGGCCAAGGACUACUAUGGGAUAAAGGUGGCCAUUCUGACAGGAUUGACUUUUCAGUCAGAAGUUUUGGGCUACUAGAUGAAUGGGGGAGUGCAACCCAGGGCAUUUGCGCAAAACUUAACAGACUGGGCAACUCACUGGCUAAGGAUAGACACACAAAGUGCUGGGUUAAAAAUAGAUAUGAUAAUAUUGGAGCAAUUUCUCCAGAGCCUCCCUGAAAGUGCACAUGUUUGGGUCCUGAGGCACCAAGCAACGACCCUAAAGGAAGCUAUAGAGGUUGCAGAAGAGUUUGUGGAUGCAGACUUACCCAGGAAAGAAUUCCAGCUGCUUCAGGGACCAUACCUGGGGAAUAAGGGAGGCAAUUUUGACACACCCAUGACAAAUGAGAAGAAAAAGGAGGAGACAAGGGGAACUCCUUCAGGGAACCAGGGAGUAGUUUGCUAUUGGUAUGGAUGGCCGAGGCAUAUAAAGUGAGACUGCCCCAUAAGGGAAGGAGGGUUCACAGAAUUUUGUGACUAAAACUAUGAGAGACAUGCAGGAAAAGAAAACACCUCUAUCCCUGUAAAUGUGGGGAGGAGGCAUCAGAAGGAACUGGUGAACACUGGUUCAAAAUGCACCCUGGUCUGGAGGUAUUUGCUGCACAGCCCCAUUGGAUGCUGCCAGGUGAGAGCUGUACUAGAAUGUAUUCAUGGCAAGAAGAGACUUCCCAAUGGCAGAAAUACCCCUAGAGCAACGGUUCUCAACCUAUAGCUCACGGGCCACUUGCAGCCCAAUCAGCACAGAGCUGCGGCCCAUAUGUCAUCCUCAGGGCCAUAAAGGUAGUAUUGGAUGCAGCCCACACAACGCACUGGGCCGCAUAUGUGGCCCACAAUGGUAAAUAGGUUGAGAACCACUGCCCUAGAGGUUAAGGGGAGGUUUAAAUGGAAGUGACUAGGGGUAAGGGCUGGCUCCAGGCACCAGCUAAAGAAGCAGGUGCUUGGGGCGACCAAUACCAAGGGGGGGCCCUCUGGCCGCUAUUGGGGCGCCACGUCUGGGUCUUCGACGGCAAUUCAGCAGCGGGUCCCUCAGUCCCUCUUGGAGUGAAGGACGUGCCGCUGAAUUGCUGCCAAAGAGUGGAGCGGUGCGAUUGUGCUGCCGCGGCUUUUUUUGCUUUUUGGGGCAGCAGAAAACCUGGAGCCAGCCCUGGUAGGGGUGGGGCAUGGACUGCCUCAUCCUGUUAUAGGGACAGUCUGGAGCCCCUUCCCUUAUAAAAGAAAAUCGUGGGUCCAGAGUCCCCCAUGGCAUGAAGCAAAAUUAAUAAGAAAUGGAGCAAAUGGACUUGACAUUGAAACGCCAGAGAACCUGAUACACAAGCCAGAAGGAAAAUGGGACCUCCCUAGGAAAGGGAAGGGAGGAAAAAGGCUGCUUAGAAUGAGAGUAGAGGUAAAUGGUACCUCUAGCUUGCUGCUGGAAAUCAGACAGUUCUGAGGAACCUCACCACCAGAACAGUGGGAGGAGGAAUCCCAGCACCAGUCCAUGGGGUUGUGAGAGCUUGAGCAGGGAGCUGGAGGAGGAAAAUGAGGCACAGCAACAGGCCCUACCCCACGCUGAAGAAGGAGAGGGUAAAAAAAAGUGAGGAAUAGGCUGCCCAUGGCAUGCGGGCCUAUGGGUAUAAACAGAGUUAUGGGUGGCAACCCACACCCAUGAAGUGUGACUUCUGUAGGUGGAAGAUGGAAAACCAGCCUGGGGGCAAACAUGCACCGAAGGAGUCCAGCACCUCCUCUGAAGAGGGCUAACGGGCUGUUUAUAUGCAGUGUAGAUGCUCAGGCUGGAGCCUGGGGUCUAGGACCCUGCAAGGUGGGAGGGUCCCAGAGCUUGGGCUGCAGCCUGAGCUGGAAUGUCUACACGGCUAUUAAACAUCCCCUUAGCCAUCCUAAGCAAUGCAAGCCCCAAGUCGGCUGCCACAGGCCAGCUGCGCGUGUUUAUAAUAAUAAUGGCAAUAUACCUAUCUCCUAGAACUGGAAGGAACCCUGAAGGGUCAGUGAGUCCAGCCCCCUGCCUUCACUACCAGGACCAAGUACUGAUUUUCCCCCAGAUCCCUGUCAAGGAUUGAACUCACAACCCUGGGGUUUAGCAGGCCAAUGCUCAAACCACAGGGCUCUCUCUCCCUCUAAUUACAGUACUGACAUAUGCACAGAGGCCUCAGGGAACAGCAGCCUCUGCUCCCUCUCAGGUUCUGAGGAGAGGGACAAACAUCCAGAAGAUAUUGUAAAUAGACUGUUUCACUGGGGCUGUAGAAGUACUGGGAGAGGGAACUCAAAAUAAAUGGCACUGUGAAUGCACAAUUAGUGGAGUCUUCACAGUUUCUGUGAGACAAGAAGAAAGGGAUGAAGGAGCACCCUGUUAUAUCCCUUGAGUGGGCUUUAGGUGGGUGAGGGAUUGCUUUGUGACUAUGAGUUCUGGGCCUCCAGAAGCUGGACAGUUAAUACUUGGAAUUGGGGGGCUGCACUCCUGCCACAUGGAUGGCUCAUUUUGCAGGUAUUAAGAUCCAGGUAUUUGAUCCCCACUGCUGACCACCCAUACCGGAGUGUUAGCAUUUCAAGCAGUGGCCAUACAGGGAAUAGAACUGGAAAGCCCAUGAAGCUCCAGAUGCACUUCCCUGAGGGGGAAGAAUGCAAGCCAUGCCUUGAUGCCUGCUCAGCGUGGCACUCUGUCCCUCUCUAGUGGUGGCUAGGCCAACUAAAAAUGGAGGAGCUUGCUGUAAUCUUGGCUUAUCAACCUGGGUGUUUUAGCUGAGACAGUAGAUGUUCAUGUAUUGAGCCCCACGGCUGACAACCCACCCAGAGGUGUCAGUAUGACAUGUAUGAUUUUAUGUGACUGUGCAGUUAAGGGGAUUUUGGUUACCUGACCUUGACUUUCUCCUCAGCCUCCUGGGUGUCUGGUUUCUGCUGCGAUGACACUGCUCAACAUCGCAGGAAUCCUAAAAGGACGCUCAGUCUUCGCCUUGGGUAAGACUGUGGAGGGUAGAAGUGCUUUCUCUGGCUAUAUAGCUCCUUUCCCUGCUACGCUCUGGCUCCAAACGCACUGACAAGAGACAACUGAACGUAACGUCAGCCCCUUUUCUCUGAGUCAUGAUUGGUCCCAGUAGUAUUGCUAACCAGUUCUCUCUCUAUCAUUAGGCAAGCUGGGACACUGAGUCCUGGGCCUCUGUCUCCAUUACUGUGUAGUCCAAGGGCAGGUCCCCUAGAGGCUUAGUGUGGUAUUUCAGGAGCACCCCCUCCAACAGGGUUACAUGAUUGUUUGGUGGUGUGCUUCUUUUGUUUGCUUUCCCCUAAAUAAAUAGGUGUUUGUGGAUCCAUAUUCCCAAGGAUUUCUGAGGGCUGGUGAGUGGUAAUAACCAGGUACAAAGUGACCAGGAAGGUUAUAUUUGAACUUGGAAGGAUUAGAAUUUAUCAGUGAAUGUCAGUAAACGUUGAUUUCAUUGUACACCCACAAACUGAUGAAAAAAUAUUUCCAUCGAUAAAAAUGGAAAUUGACCGAUUGAGGCAAAGUAAGGAAAAUGCUGUUUGAGAAUUUAUUGGAGUUUGAUUUAUUGGAGAUGAUAUUUACUUUGUAUAUUUUGAAAUGCAAUGUUGCCAAUUUGUGUUCCAACAGUUAUAAAGCUUUACCUUUUUGAAUCUCAACAUUAAAUUGAAUGUAUAUCAUUAAAUAAUUAUUGUCUGACCCUCUAUAAUUUCCUACAACUAUGAAAAUGUAAGUAAUAAAAAUUUAAAAAUGCUUAAAAAUAAACAUCAUCAUGCAUUGAAAUUAUAAACAACUAACAACUGAAUUCUGCCAACCCUAGUUACAUUGUAAUUUCUUAGAGCCAGAAAAGUAUGGCUCAAGCCAUUUUAUUCAUUUUAGAAAGGGACUGCUAAACAGAUAGAACCUGCCUCUUGUUGCAGUCAUUGACAUCUGGCCAAAGGGCUACAGUUGCAAUAGCUGGGCUCAGAGCCACAUACAAUGGCUUGUACUUCCGUCCUUCAGUGCUUUGAAAACUUCUGAGUACAUGUCUAUUGCGUUCAGUUGCAUGUCAUAUAGAAGCACCAGACAAACACAGAAUCCAGAAUGUGAUACAAUCAGGUAAAUAAGACAUGCAGUGGGAAGUUUCUGAAAUAGUGAAGAAGUGCAAAUCACUAGAUCAGAAUGAUCAUCUGUGCAUUUUACAUCCUUCAGGGCUUGAAUCUCCACUUUUUUGCUCUGUGUAGUCAUUUACAUCUGUGCAAAGUGAGGGUAAAAUGCUUGCUUUCUGAUUUGCAUUUUCCACCUCUUUGCACUCACUUUUCAAAGCUGUAAUGGCUGCAUAAGGUGCAAGUCAGUAAAAGCAGCGGUUCAUAGGUUAUGGCUUCCAGUGCUACUACAGGCUUAUCAAUACCUCAGUUCUAAGAGUAGGGUGACCAGAUGUCUCAAUUUUAUAGGGACAGUCUCAAUUUUGGGGGGUCUUUUUCUUAUAUAGGUUCCUAUUACCCCCCACCCCCUGUCCUGAUUUUUCAACCUUGCUAUCUGGCCUCUCUACCUAAGAGGCAGAAAGGCAGUUCUUACUAGUGGGAAGAAACCUCCAAGUGUUCUUCCAUAAUUCUGCAUUGAAGAGCUAUCUGGGAGCUCAGUGAGACUGGGAUAUCUAUCUACUGGGGGGAAAGGAGAGGAAAUGUGAGGCGUGAGUUCAGACUAGAUGGAAGAGGGGGGGGGGAAGGAGAGGAGCCACAGAAAGGUUUGAGGCAAUCGUGGGGAAACUGAAUGGGCUCGCGCAUGCAGUAAAGCACAGCUGCUAAGCUGCGAGUUCAGAAAGAAGGAGGUUUUAUACAAAUGAUUCAAUGCUCUGAUUUGUAUACUCAAGAAAUAUACAUUGUCUCAUUUACACAUAUUCCCCUCAGUCAAAUCCUUCAAUUCCUGGCACUUCCUGCCUGUCGAACCAUUAUGUUCUCCUUGGCAAACCAAUCAUUUCUGCACCAGAAUUUCCCUUCCAACCUCCCCCAUUCUUGGCUUCCCCCUCAAGUUCCUCACAUGUGCCACCUCUUCCGUCUCUGGUUCCCCAACCCCUUCAGAUACACUCCUCUUGCCUCACUUCCUCUUUCUGACUUUCCCACACCCUAUAUUGGCCCCUUUGCCUGGUCUGUCCCCCACUCUGCCUUGCUCCCCACUUGAAUUACUCCCAUCACCCUGGUUUGGUUUUCUCUAUACCAAUCCCCAUCUCUAGUUCCUAUGCUGACUGCUGACCAUCCCACUUAAAUCAUCUCCCCACCCUGACCUUAGAGCAUGGUACCCAAGACACCCAAAGACACAGAGACUUGGCAACAGCAAUAUCAAUUUGCCCAGUGUUGCUCCCCCUGUGCCAGGUUGGGGCCUAUGCUCUAGGUGGGGUCUCUAUGGUUACAGUCCUCCCCUGGUAGGAUCUCUCUAGGUCCACUCUCUAUCUGGAGAAGA